rnacentral:lncRNA from 1 species
CUCGGAGUCGGUGAAAGGAUCAAGGAUAAAUUGAGGUUCUAGUUUUCAGACUACUUUUUGAUACAAAGUUAUUUGUGUAAAUAGUGUUAUUUUUUUUAUUAAGUUUCAAAGUUGGUCUUGUAGUUUUAAGUAAAGCCUCCAAGUUGUAGUUGGGUUUUUGAGUUAAUUAAAAGAUUGAUAUUGGAGUGUCUCAGAUUCUGUGAAAACGGAUACGAACAUAUAGUUCAUAAGCCAAAC